UGGGGUAUAUUGCACAAUGGGCGCAAGCCUGAUGCAGCCAUGCCGCGUGUAUGAAGAAGGCCUUCGGGUUGUAAAGUACUUUCAGUCGGGAGGAAGGUGUCAAGGUUAAUAACCUUGGCAAUUGACGUUACCGACAGAAGAAGCACCGGCUAACUCCGUGCCAGCAGCCGCGGUAAUACGGAGGGUGCAAGCGUUAAUCGGAAUUACUGGGCGUAAAGCGCACGCAGGCGGUUGAUUGAGUCAGAUGUGAAAUCCCCGGGCUUAACCCGGGAAUUGCAUCUGAUACUGGUCAGCUAGAGUCUUGUAGAGGGGGGUAGAAUUCCAUGUGUAGCGGUGAAAUGCGUAGAGAUGUGGAGGAAUACCGGUGGCGAAGGCGGCCCCCUGGACAAAGACUGACGCUCAGGUGCGAAAGCGUGGGGAGCAAACAGG
rnacentral:rRNA from 1 species